GGUAAGAAGAGAGGAUCCAGCAGGGUGGUGCAUGAGAAAGGGGGGGUACCAUCUGUGGUCCUGGGGACUCUUUAUUCCAGGGAGGCUUCUUUGGAUCUGAGAUGUUGAAGAAUCUGGUCCUGCAAUUCCUGCAGCAGUAUUACUUGAUCUAUGACUCUGGAGAUCGACAGGGUCUCCUUAGUGCUUACCACGAUGAGGCCUGCUUCUCCAUGAGCAUUCCCUUCAAUCCUGAGGACUCAGCCCCGAGCAGCUUGUGCAAGUACUUCAAGGAUAGCAGGAAUAUAAAAAUUACCAAGGACCCCUACCUGCGGGGGGAGCUGCUGAAGCACACAAAACGUGAUAUUGUGGACUCCCUCAGUGCGUUGCCUAAAACUCAGCAUGACCUCAGCUCCUUCCUGGUGGACAUGUGGUGCCAGACGGAAUGGAUGCUCUGCUUUUCUGUCAACGGGAUGUUCAAGGAAGUGGAAGGACAGUCUCAGGGUUCUGUUCUCGCCUUCACCCGGACCUUCAUUGCUACCCCUGGCAGCAGUUCCAGUCUGUGCAUCGUGAAUGACAAGCUCUUUGUGUGGGAUACCGGCCACCAAGGGACCCAGAGUGCCUUGUUCAC
rnacentral:sRNA from 1 species